rnacentral:rRNA from 1 species
CCUACGGGGGGCAGCAGUGAGGAAUAUUGGUCAAUGGGCGGAAGCCUGAACCAGCCAAGUCGCGUGAGGGAUUAAGGCCCUAUGGGUCGUAAACCUCUUUUGUCAGGGAACAAAGGCGGGGACGUGUCCCCGGAUGAGUGUACCUGAAGAAAAAGCAUCGGCUAACUCCGUGCCAGCAGCCGCGGUAAUACGGAGGAUGCGAGCGUUAUCCGGAUUUAUUGGGUUUAAAGGGUGCGCAGGCGGUCUGUUAAGUCAGCGGUCAAAGCCCGGGGCUCAACCCCGGCCCGCCGUUGAAACUGGCAGGCUCGAGUUGGAGAGAAGUAUGCGGAAUGCGCGGUGUAGCGGUGAAAUGCAUAGAUAUCGCGCAGAACUCCGAUUGCGAAGGCAGCAUGCCGGCUCCACACUGACGCUGAGGCACGAAAGCGUGGGUAUCGAACAGGAUUAGAUACCCGGGUAGUC